rnacentral:rRNA from 1 species
UCGGAAUUGCUAGUAAUCGCAGAUCAGCAUGCUGCGGUGAAUACGUUCCCGGGCCUUGUACACACCGCCCGUCACACCAUGGGAGUCGGUAACACCCAAAGUUGGUAGCCUAACCGCAAGGAGGGCGCCGCCUAAGGUGGAAUUGAUGACUGGGGUGAAGUCGUAACAAGGUACC